UACGAAGGGGGCUAGCGUUGCUCGGAUUGACUGGGCGUAAAGGCGCGUAGGCGGUUUGUACAGUCAGACGUGAAAUUCCUGGGCUCAACCUGGGGCUGCGUUUGAUACGUGCAGACUUGAGUUCGGAAGAGGGUCGUGGAAUUCCCAGUGUAGAGGUGAAAUUCGUAGAUAUUGGGAAGAACACCGGUGGCGAAGGCGGCGACCUGGUCCGAUACUGACGCUGAGGCGCGAAAGCGUGGGAGCAACAG
rnacentral:rRNA from 1 species